UGAGGAAUAUUGCGCAAUGGCCGAAAGGCUGACGCAGCGACGCCGCGUGAAGGAUGAAGUUCGUUAGAAUGUAAACUUCUUUUGUAGGGGAUGAAUGUGCCGUUUUGCGGCAUUGACCGUACCCUGCGAAUAAGGAUCGGCUAACUACGUGCCAGCAGCCGCGGUAAUACGAAGGGUGCUAGCGUUGUUCGGAAUCACUGGGCGUAAAGCGCGCGUAGGCGGCUUAACAAGUCAGAGGUGAAAGCCUGGAGCUCAACUCCAGAACUGCCUUUGAAACUGUUAAGCUUGAGUGUCGGAGGGGAUAGCGGAAUUUCUAAUGUAGAGGUGAAAUUCGUAGAUAUUAGAAGGAACACCGGUGGCGAAGGCGGCUAUCUGGACGACAACUGACGCUGAGCGCGAAAGCGUGGGGAUCAAACAGGAUUAGAUACCCCGGUAGUCCCUGAGCGGGCUGGCAAGGCGCAU
rnacentral:rRNA from 1 species